rnacentral:rRNA from 1 species
GACGAACGCUGGCGGCGUGCUUAACACAUGCAAGUAGAACGCAGUUGCGAACGGGUGAGUAACGCGUAGGUAACUGCCUCCUAGCGGGGGAUAACUUUUGGAAACUAUAGCUAAUACCGCAUAUUGUGACAUUGCCCUUCGUUGUAUUAGGUUGUUGGUGAGGUAAAGGCUCACCAAGGCGAGGAUACAUCGCCGACCUGAGAGGGGGAUCGGCCAGCCUGGGACGGAGACACGGCCCAGAGUCCUACGGGAGGCAGCAGUAGUGAUGCGUCGGGAAUGGGCGGAAGAUUGACCGAGCAACGCCGCGUGAGUGAGGAGGGUUGGCGGAUCGGAAAGCUCUGUUGUUAGAGAAGCGGUAACUAACCAGAAAGGGACGGCUAACUACGUGCCAGCAGCCGCGGUAAUAC